rnacentral:rRNA from 1 species
UACGUAGGGUGCGAGCGUUGUCCGGAAUUAUUGGGCGUAAAGGGCUCGUAGGCGGUUUGUCGCGUCGGGAGUGAAAACCCAGGGCUUAACUCUGGGCUGGCUUCCGAUACGGGCAGACUAGAGGCAUGCAGGGGAGAACGGAAUUCCUGGUGUAGCGGUGAAAUGCGUAGAUAUCUGGAGGAACACCGGUGGCGAAGGCGGCAUCCUGGACCAAUAUUGACGCUGAGGAGCGAAAGCCAGGGGAGCAAACGGG